CCAAUAGCGUAUAUUAAAGUUGUUGCAGUUAAAAAGCUCGUAGUUGAAUUUCGGGAUUGACGUGAUGGUCGUGCCUUAAGGGGUAUGAACUGUUGCAGUCAAUUUCUCACCUUCUGGAGAAAUAUGAUGUCCUUAAUUGGGUGUCAUAUGGAACCAGAACUUUUACCUUGAAAAAAUUAGAGUGUUUAAAGCAAGCAUAUUGCUCGAAUACAUUAGCAUGGAAUAAUAAAAUAGGACGGCAUGGUUCUAUUUUGUUGGUUUCUAGGAUCACCGUAAUGAUUAAUAGGGAUAGUUGGGGGCAUUAGUAUUCAAUUGUCAGAGGUGAAAUUCUUGGAUUUAUUGAAGACUAACUACUGCGAAAGCAUUUGCCAAGGAUGUUUUCAUUAAUCAAGAACGAAAGUUAGGGGAUCGAAGACGAUCAGAUACCGUCGUAGUCUUAACCAUAAACUAUGCCGACUAGGAAUCAGACGAUGUUAAUUUUUUAAUGACUCGUUUGGCACCUUACG
rnacentral:rRNA from 1 species